rnacentral:lncRNA from 1 species
GUUUCUCUUUCCGCGGUGGCGUCCGGCGAGGACCGCUUCGGCCCUGUUUCCCUCUCUUCUGGACCCUCCCGCGGGGCCCUCUGCCCGCCUGUUCGCACCUGCCCCAGCACCCGCCUCUCGAGGGGCUCUGGCCCCGACCCUGCGCCUUCCGGCCACUUCUCGGACCCCUCCUUCGGACUUGGCGACCCCGAUUUUGCCCCGCUACCUCGGGUUCCACUUUCUGCCGCCAGGCCCUCUUGGGACGCGCCCUGACACACCCUCCUCCGCCCCAGCUGUCUCCACACCCGCCGGGGGCAGAGCCCUGUCCUCUCCUCCCCUGCAGCCAGAUCCCCCUAGGAGGCCACAGAAGGUGUCCCCAACCCUGAGCCUGACCCCACCCGUAGACCCCCUCCUAGCCCCUGCUCCACCCGCCGUCGACGCCCUCAGUCGCCCGCCCUGCUGUCCCGAAGCCCCGGCCGGCCGCGGUCUCUGGUCUUGGCUCGGGCUUCCCGGGAAGCGGCGGCCUGACCACAGGCUUCAGAGGAACCCCUGGCGGCGCGGGCGCCUCCACCCCGGCCCAGUUCCUCGGAAACUGGGCGGGGCCGGGCAAGGUCCCUGGUGGCCUCGACUGCCCUCCCUGCGCUCCCACUACCCGGCUGCGGAAGAAACUGAGGCUGGGGAGGGGCUGGGAUUUGCAAUGGCUUGCAGAUUGGGAGCUCUGGACCUGGAUCUCGCCUUCCCCGUCUUCAUUUUGGGGAGAGGUGCAGCUGGACGACAUCAAAUUGGAGCCCAGUGAAAAAAUGGUGCAUUCUCAGACGUGAUGAAUCCCCAAACCUGGUUUCCUAGCCCUCCUCUCCCCCGACCCCUUCCUCAUAGAUUUCCCCCUCCUACUGCUCCGUCAGGCAUCUGCCCUUCAAAGACUGCCUUCCCACCACACACACGGCCGGGGCUUGGGAUGGUGGGCGGUCGGUGGUCGGGGCUGUAAUUUGCACACGUGUUUGUGAUUUAGUGAUUCCGAUUGUCGUGCGAGGCCAUGGAGUAGGUGCCUGGCUGCUCCGUGUAUUUUUGAAUGAAGGCAUGUGAGGAGCCCCAGCAUCACAAGGGGCCACAUAAAAACCUGGCUAGGCUGGGCACUUGGUUACUGGCCUCACACUGGGACACACUGCCCUCUACAGACAGCUCUCAGACGGCUUCUCUCCUGGAAGCCCUGGUGCCCAGUCCCUUCCCGCCUCCCUGGCCCCACGAUACCUCUUUCCCCAGGCAGAGCCUAGGUCCUUAUUAACCUCCUGAACACAGGGAGUGGCCCAGAAUCAGCCCAGCUUAGCACCCCAUCAGUGCCCUGAAUCUGCAUGUGGCCAGGGCUGGUGGUGGUCAUUGGUGUAGCCUCCUAGGUUGUGCGUGUGUGUGCGUGCGCGUGCGUGAGGGGGUGAGAGAAGAUGCAGAACCUUGCCUGCACCAGAGGUCAGGUGUGUGAUCAUUCGAGAGAUGUCCACUGAACAUCUGCUGGAGGCCACACUCUGUGGAGGGUGAUGGAAUACAAGGAGACCCAGUUCCAAAUCUGCACCUUUCUAUUCUUGUGACCUUGAGCAUGUAAUUAACCUCUCUGCCAUGGUUUCUUUAUCUGUGAAAUGGGGAUAAUAAUAGUACCUCUAGCAGGGCGCAGUAGCUCAUGCCUAUAAUCCCAGCACUUGGAAGGCCAAGACAGGAGGAUUGCUUGAGCCCAGGAGUUUGAGAACAGCCUGGGCAACAAAGUGAGACCCCCUCUCUACAAAAAAAAAAAAAAAAAAAAAAAAAUAGUACAAAAAUCAGCCAGUCGUAGUGGAUUGCACCUGCAGUCCCAGCUACUUGGGAGGCUGAAGCAGGAGGAUUGCCUGAGCCCAGGAGGUCAAGGCUGCAGUGAGCCACGAUUGUGUCACUGCACUCCAGCCGGGGCAACAGACUAAGACCCUGUCUCAAAAAAAAAUAAAUAAAUAGUACCUCCAUCCCGGGGUUGUAUGGGAAUUAAAUGAGUGAUUAUGGGUCAGGUGCUUAAAACAGCCCGUAGUGUCUAAUAAGCAGUCGGUAGAUGUUUGUUGUUCAUCUGAGGGUGCCUGUGGGUGUGGCAGUGUGUUGGAGCCCACAGACGCAUGGCUUCAACCCCUGUGUCCAUUUUUUUAAAGAGAUGGAGUGUAGCUCUGUUGCUCAGGCUGGAGUGUAGUGAUAGGAUCGAGGAGGCACUAUAGCCUCGACCUCCUGGGCUCAAGAGAUUCUCCCAUCUCAGCCUCCUGAGUAGCUGAGACUACAGGCACAUGCCACCACACCCGGCUAAUUUUUUAAAUUUUUUGUAGGGAUGGGGUCUCACUACGUUGCCCAGGCUGGUCUCGAACUCCUGUCCUUUAGUGACCCUCCUGCCCUGGCUUCCCAAAGCACUGCCUUAUAUCUAUGUUUGAAGCCCUAGUCCAGGGACCACAGGCCAGGGAAGGCACAGCAAGGGAGCAGGAAAGCUUCUAAAGGUACACUCAGCACACGUGGGUUCUCCUCACUGCCACCAGUGACAGACAGCUUUGGUUUCAUUUUCUGAAGUCCUGUGUUCAAAAUGAAACCAAAUCCAGAUGCCGAAAGAGAAAAGGAAAUCUGCUGGUUGACAAGCAUCCACCUUGUGGGCUGUUCUGCUGGAGGGCUGGGCACCAGGCUCACAGGAAGCCAGGCAGUGCGAAACCCUGAGGGGCUCAGAGUGCUCGGUAGGAUGGGACCAGGCUCUGACCCCAGACCUGCUGCAUGACCUUGGGCAAGUGACCUGUCCUCUUGGGACCUGAUUUGCCCCAACUGCAAAGUGAUCUCUGGACAUCUCGUACCUCACAGAGCAGCCAGACAUGCAGAGCCAAGGGCAAAAUGCCAGGCAUGGAGUCGGUGCUUGGCACAAUGACCUCUUGUCACAGGGCGGAUGGACCAGCCCUAUAUCCACAGCUUACUAAACCACAGCCACAGCCAGAUGUGUGGAAACAUUCUCCUCCCUAUCUUGGCAGAUCCUCGUACCCCAAAUGUGAGGGGCCCAGCCAGCAUCUGGGGGAAGUCAAGAUCCUGGUGGCUUAUGGCACUUAGCUUUUCAGUUUCUCUUUCCGGCUUUGGUGGCGCCUUGCUGGGAAAAGUAGCUCCUGGCCAGGGUGUGUAAUCGUGAAACUAGCCUCUGCCCCGGAAUUCCUCAGCCCUGCUUUUCCUCUAACCCAUGUGUCGGGAAGGUUCCCAUGGGAGUCUGUGCCCCUGGGAACCCCGAGCAGUGGGGCUCACAGUGUGGAUUCUGCUGACCGCUGGUCUGAAUUUAAAUGGGUCAUUUCAUAAGUAUGUGGCCUGGGGCCAGCUUCUUAGCUUUUCUGUGCCUCAGUUUCCAUAUUUGCAAGAUGGGAUAAUAACAUAUCUAUUUCACUUCUUCAGUAUUUAUUCAGCAGAUAUUUACUGAGUUCUUACUGUGUGCCAGGCGCAGGGGACUCAGAGGUCUUCAGGCAGACCUAGGGGAGUCAGUGAAUUCACACCAUCAGUGCAGACCAUACUGGGUGCUAUGUGGGAAAGAAACAGAGAGAAAGGGGUGACUGGGUGUUUGUAAGGUGAGAUAAGGAAGUUAGGGAAAGCCUCUUGGAGGUGGUGACAUUAGCACUGACGUCUUUCUAAAAGUGGGAUGAAGACCCCAGGUGGCGAGAACAGCCAGUGCAAAGGCCCUGUGGUGGGGGUGCUUGAAGAUAGGAAAGGAGAGUUGGUAUAGCGAGCCAGGGGGUGGUGUAGGGGUGAGGCAUAGGGGUUGGCAGGGUCUGAUCCAUCAGGCACGGCCUUGCUGGGCUGUGGCAGGGCUUUGGAUUUUGCCCUGAGUGCAUGGACCAGCCAUCCAGGCCCAAGCGACAGCAUAGGACUGAGUGUGGAAAGAACCUUCUAGCUGCUGACCUUCCCAGCUGCUGGGCUUUAGCCACGAUGAGCUGUAGUAGUGGCCUUGGGACACUUUCCCAUGGUCCUGUGAAUUGGAAAUUAUGUGUUUCCCUUGAUCAGAUGAGGAGAGCACAACUCAGGGAACUGGUGGAACUUGGUGAAGGUGUUUUGGGGAGCCCUGGGGCUUGGCAGAACCUGGCCUGAAGUCCUCUGUCGGGAGAGGUUGCUUUGAUGUUUGGAGUAGAUCCUUUCUGCUCCCACCACAGGAACGAUUGUGUGUCUCAGUGGCGGGUAGAGGGGUGUGAGCUCAGAGGACCUGAGUCCAAGGAGAAGGUGUGAGAGGCCAGGGAACGAUGGCAUGAGCCAGUGGCUGACUCCAAAGUGGCGCCAGUCCUGGAGACUUGAUGAGACUCUUCUAGCAGGCACAGGUGAAGAAAGGAGAGGUGAAGUCAGCUGUUACUUGAAGUAGUCAGUAGUCACUGGCUUUCAGAAAGCAGUCAAGAUUGUUUCGUUAACAGCUGCAAAAUAGGAGGGGCAGGAAAGUAGAAUUCUAGGAAUGCUGGUGGAGGGGUCCAGACACACCUGCUUCCAGUCCCAGCUCCCCUCCCCAUCAGCUGUGUGGCUUCAGGCAAGUUGACUGAAUCCAGUGGUCCAGAGAACUCUCACAAAGCCCGAGCCUGGGAAGCACAGUGCCUGUUCCUCAGUAAAUCCCUUGGGAUCUUUGUCGUGGCCUAUUCACUCCAUUUUUGCACAGUAUUCCAACAAGCCUAACAGGUUUCUACCCACCCCACCCCAUCCCAUAAGUGACAAAUUAGGUGUCAGCAGCUGACAGCAAGGACCAGUAGCGGUGACAUAGGGGGCAAAGAACUUGCAGAAACUAUGAAACUAGGCACAAGAGCUAGCACGCAGCAGGCUGGGGACGUUAGAGUGUGGAGCAGGAAGAUUCCUCAUGUCCAUGGGCCCUCACUGUGGUGAUGCUGUUGAGAAUGUCGGGUAUCGCAAUGAGAGGUAGAAUAGGGCCCAGUUCUCUCUGAGGAGGCGUCUGGUCUCAGGGCACACAGAGCAGCAGCAGUCUCCUCCCAUGCCACGAUGUGGGAAGCCCAGCGUCUACUGGCCCAAUUGGCAGUGCCCUGAACAGGCUCAGGGAGGGGUAACCCUCAACCGAGUUGUAAAGAGUGAGCAUCACGGCCGGGCGCAGUGGCUCACGCCUGUAAUCCCAGCACUUUGGGAGGCGGAGGCAGGCAGAUCACGAGGUCAGGAGAUGGAGACCAUCCUGGCUAACACGGUGAAACGCCGUCUCUACUAAAAAUACAAAAAAUUAGCCGGGCGUGGUGGUGGGCGCCUGUAGUCCCAGCUACUUGGGAGGCUGAGGCCGGAGAAUGGCGUGAACCCAGGAGGCGGAGCUUGCAGUGAGCAGAGAUGGCGCCACUGCACUGCAGCCUGGGCGACAGAGCAAGACUCCAUCUCAAAAAAAAAAAGAGUGAGCAUCACUUGAGUUCAGGAGUUCAAGACCAGCCUGGGCAGCAUGACAAAACCCCAUCUCUACAAAAAUAUGAAAAAAUUAGUUGGGCAUGGUGACACAUACCUGUGGUCCCUGCUACUUGGGAGCCUCAGGUGGGAGGAUCACUUGAGCUCGGAAGACAGAGAUGGCAGUGAGCUGAGAUCACACCACUGCACUCCAGCCCGGGUGACUUAGGGAGACCCUGUCUCAAAAAAAAAAAAAAAAAAAAAAAAAAAAAAAAGAGCUCUCACCAAGGGAACGGAGGGAGAACAUAUUCCGGGCAGAGCAUGACAAGAAUGUGAGGCCCUGGGCAGAGCAUGAGGCCAAAGGUAAGCCGGACACCCCAAGGCAGCCCUAGUGGCUUCUAGGAGGAGACUCGUCUGGAGGAAGGGAGAGGGCUGGACUGGACCUCUGCCUGCCCUGGAGUAAUGAGUCCCUCUGUGGGAGAGCGUUCUGGGUCACCUUGCCCAAACCAGCAAGCCCAGAGCAGGGGCUGAUGUUAUAUCCACAUGCCUUUACUGCCUCUCCAGAUUCAACAGAGCUUCGCUGAGCACCCAUUAGACACAUUCACUGAUGCUCAUUCCUUUUUUAUCCUCUUUUUCCUUCAAUUUUCCUCCCUCUAGGUAACCCAGGCACCAGCUUGGUCUGUUCUUUGGGAUCUUUUUUAUUUUUAUUUUUAUUUUUUGAUACUGGGUCUCCCUCUGUCACUCAGGCUGGGGUGCAGUGGCGUGAACACAGCUCACUGCAGCCUUGACACCCCCACCCCACCCCCACUGUGCUCAAGCAAUCCUCCUGACUCAGCUUCCCAUGUAGGUGGCACGCAUUGCCAUGCCCAGCUAAUUUUUUCAUUUUUAGGGAGACAGAGUCUCACUUUGUUUCCUAGGCUGGUCUCAAACUCCUGGCUUCAAGUGAUCCUCCCGCGUGGGCCUCGCAAAGCGCUGAGAUUAUAGGCAUAAGCCACUGCUCCCACCCUGGGAUCUUUUUCUAUGCAUCUACAUGCUUGUAUUUUGACCCAUAAAAAUUAUGUUCCUUGGCCAGGUGUGGUGGCUCAUGCCUGUAAUCCUAGCGCUUUGGGAGGUCGAGCUGGGAGGAUCACUUGUGGUCAGUUCGAGGCUGUGGUGAGCUAUGAUUGUGCCACUGCACUCCAGCCGAGGUGACAGAGCAAGACCCCAAUUAUUUAAAAAAAAAAAAUAGUAUUCCUUUGUGUAGGACUUUUCCCUCUAUCAAUGUCAUGUCUUUCUCCAUCUUGCACUUUCCACCCAACAGAUACUCUGGCAAUCUGGCUAGAUCACAUAUAGAUCGACCCCAUGCUCCUUAAGAACUGCAUGAUACUCCUCAGCGUAUGUUCAUUUAGCCGUCCCCGGUGGGUGGACACAUAGGUUGUAUUUUUGCUCUUGCAAACAGCGUGGCCUGCACCUCCCUGUACAGCCUCUUGGCACACAUGUGAUAAACCGUUCUUACCGUUUGAAUGUUCAUAGGUGCCACCCAGUCACCUGCCAGCGUGCUGUGCACAUUUACCUUCUGGGCAAAAGCAUUCAACAAUGUUUCCCCAUGCCUUCACCAUUAUCUUACUUUUUCCAUUUUUGCCUAUUUGAUGAUUUGGUAAGUGGUGGCUUCUCAUUGUUGCUUUAAUGCCUGCUUCUUCUUUCAUUUAUUCAACAAAUACUUACUGCACUCCUAAUAUGUGCCAGGCACUGUGCUAAGUCCCGGAGAUGCAGCAGUGAACAGCAUGGCCUCCUCGGUUCUCUUUACAAAGUGUGAGACGCACCUGAGACUCAGAGAGAUUAAGGAAUAGUCCUGGGGUCACCCAGCGAGGGAAUGGGAGAGCUGGGAUUUGAAGCUGGGUCUGUGUGGCUGCAGGGUUUGAGAUGUUUUUCCUUUCGAAUCAUAGCUCACAUGGGCAUCUCCACCAGGGUCUGCCCUCUCAUCUGACCCACUCCAUUCCCGACUCCUGCCCCAACCCAGGACCACUGCAUUUCCCCUUGGUGAUCCCUCAGGCCCACAGGAGUGACAGCCCUGCAGCUAACCCCACCACAGGACAGGCUGCACCUCAUUGUUCCCCAGACCUCACCUCACCCCCUAGUAGCCCACUGAAAUUAAAUCUCUGAGUAUCAAGACAGCUCAUCUUCAGAACCCACGUACUCUCUUGCUGGCUGGAUUUAUUGUCUGUCUCUCUCCAUUUCCUGAAUUUGGGUCUCCAGCAGGCCUGUCCCCAACCUGCUGCCACCCACCCCAAGCCGAGUAAGUGAAAGCAUGAAUCUGUGGUUGGAUUAUUUUUUCCUGUCAUCAUUGUACGUCUGACUGUACAAGGGUGGCGUGUAUUGUGAGUGCUUGCCUACAUGUGUGUUUCCUGUGGGAAGGGUCAGGGGAGGUGACUGAGAGCCUUCAUGCACAUGUAGGGGUGUGUAUGUGUACUUGGGGUCCACAUGUGAAUGUGGGUCUCUGUGUCUGAGUGGGUUUGAACAGCUGCUUCUUCAUACGUGUGGCCAGGAGUUCGAGGCUGUGGUGAGCUAUGAUUGUAUAUAUGACUAUCCGUGUUUGUGCCACUUUUGUGUUGGUUGUGUUGGUGUUGCUUUCAGGGAAAUGUGGAGUUAAAGGUAGGUCCAUAAGCCACACGUGUGACCCAGUCCAUUGGCUUAUAAUAAAAGAUUUACCUUCAGUAAUCAUAUCAUAAAAGGACACUGCCCAGGAAGUAGGGAGGUCCUUUGGUGAGUGGGGCUCAAAGUCCCUGACUUUAUGUCUAACCCUGUCUCCACUUCCUCUUUCAAAAUAUGUUCCCCAGAAGGGCCUCCCUAACUCUUUUGCACCGAUGUGUCAGUGACUAUCAUGGCUUAAUGUGGCCUUACAUUUGGGAACCAGUAAGUUUUGGGCAAAACAUGAAUCUCUUAUCUCAGACCUGCCUGCCAGGAGUCCUUGACCAAGUUGUUUCACCUCUGAGUCUCAGCUUCUUCAUCUGUACAGUGGGACCAAUAAUGUCUCUUGUUGAGGAGCGUGGAUUCCGUGGAAAUAUUUAUGUCAAAACAUCUGGCAUCUAGUAGGUGCUCGAUAAAUGGAAUUCCCGAGUAUGCUUGGGUGCUUCCCCAUACCCUCUCCUAAUAGAAACAACCUGGAACAUUUCCCUGCUGUGAGAGGAGGAUAAAGGGACCCAAGGAAAGGAGACUGAUGGUGACAUUGAGUGGCAUUGAUCGGGUGGACCAGGCCCUCUCUUGGAUGCUUGCAGGUGCAUUAUCUCAAUGAACCUCCACUGGGACCCCUCCAGGCAGGCACCAUUAGCCUCCCAUUUUACAGAAAAGACCAGGAUGCAGACAGGGGACAUGACUUGCUCAAGGCCACACAGCUGAGAUCUGAAAGAGGACCUUCCAUGUCAUGCCACUGCCUGGGAUGGGCUCAGCAAAGCUUGGAGUCCUGCAAGGCCUUCCCCAAGACACCUGGGUCCAUUUCCCUUCCCUGCAGACAGCCCAUCACCACUCAUUUCUACUCCUGCCCCACCUCCCUUCACCUGUUCACCCUGUUCCUUCAGCCCAAAUGUCAAAUGCAGCACAAAAGAAAACAAAGUGACCCUGUGUCUGGCGCUAUGCUGGGCAGCUUAUCACACACCAGGCUGCUGGGUACCCCGCCCCCCAGUAUGUCAGAACGAUGAGCCCAUUAGACAGAGGGGGAGAGUGAGGCUCAGAGUGGUCUAGUCCCAGCCGCCGCAGCUAGGAUAGUGAGAACUAGGGCAAACUUGAGUCUGACCCUAAAACCAAGGCUUGUGGGUAUGAAGGUCAGAAGCCAAUUUACCCAAGACCCUGACCAUUCCCCAGUCCUUUUGUCUGGCAGCCGGCAUUCCUUCACGAAAAUCUGCCUGGUACUUUUUAUGCCAUGUUAACAGCAGAGGUUUACUGAGUGCCAAGCACUGAGCCCAGACACCAUGUCACAUGCAUGACACACUGACCUCUCCCAACCUCCCAGCAAGGGUGCCCAUUUUGCAAAUGAGAGCAGGUUUCCUACUUGGAAGCAGGGUUCUGUCUGGUUCACCCUUAUCUUCCCUCCUUGGCCUUAGCCCAAAGCCCACACAAGUGGGUGCUCAGUAAAUGUUUGCGAAAGAGGAAUGAGGAAGGCAGGACUCUGGGCAUUAUCUUGGGAGGAACCUCCAGCCCACCCGUUGUGGAAAAUCACCCCGCUAGACCGGGCUGCCAUUCUGCCAAUUGCUGUACCCUGUCCCAUCCCCUGCAGUCCAGUCUCCACACAGCAGCCAGCACCACUUUGAAAACACACACCAGGUGGCCGGGCGCAGUAGCUCACGCCUGUAAUCCCAGCACUUUGGGAGGCCAAGGCAGGCGGAUCACAAGGUCAGGAGAUCGAGACCAUCCUGGCUAACACGGUGAAACCCUGUCUCUACUAAAAAUACAAAAAAGUUAGCUGGGCGUGGCGGUGUGCACCUGUAGUCCCAGCUACUCGGGAGGCUGAGGCAGGAGAAUGGUGUGAAGCUGGGAGGCGGAGCUUGCAGUGAGACGAGAUGGCGCCACUGCACUCCAGCCUGGGCGACAGAGCAAGACUCCAUCUCAGAAAAAAAAAAAGAAAAAAGAAAACACACACCAGGCUUGGUGCAGUGGCUCACGCCUGUAAUCCUAACACUCUGGGAGGCCGAGGUGGGAGGAUUGCUUGCGCUCAGGAGUUUUUAAGACCAGCCUGGGCAACAUAGUGAGACCCCAUCUCUACAAAAAGUAAAAAAAUAAGCCGGGCACAGUGGCUCACGC